rnacentral:lncRNA from 1 species
ACAUUUUGAUUGACGGAUAAAAAUGGUUACAGAAAACCCCUUAAUUUCCAAAAGAAGUUGCUUAAAUACGUUUCUGGAUAAUAAUCGACAAAAUCAAAAACAAUUAAUUGGAGAGGCAAACGAACAGGACGCAUUUUCAGAUGAUUCUAAUCGUCGAAUUAAAUUUAUUGCAUGGUUAAUGGUUCAAUUACAUGAAGAAACCGAUUUUUUACGUUUUUUCUGUUGGACCGACGAAUCAAAAUAGCUGCAUCCAAAUUGGGUCCCGAAUUUAAAAUUACUACAUCAGUUGGGUUCUGAAUUAUUUUAGGAACUCAUAAUACAAUCCCGCUGGAUUUAAAAACUACCAGAUGUUUGAUUAUGACAAUUUAAACGGUGGUAACUUUAAUUCAUAAUUAUACAAUGGUACUUAUACACAAUAGCGCCUAUGUAUUUUGCAAGCAACCACUGUCAGCAACAGCUGACCGCCAAAAAUGUCUAACGAAACCACGCGGACAGACUGUUAAGCACUGCUCUAGCAGCGAUUAGGUUGUAACGCGUUGU